rnacentral:rRNA from 1 species
CGAACGGUAAGGCCCCUUCGGGGGUACACGAGUGGCGAACGGGUGAGUAACACGUGGGUGACCUGCCCUGUACUUCGGGAUAAGCCUGGGAAACUGGGUCUAAUACCGGAUAUGACCUUCCCCUGCAUGGGGGUUGGUGGAAAGCUUUUGCGGUACAGGAUGGGCCCGCGGCCUAUCAGCUUGUUGGUGGGGUAAUGGCCUACCAAGGCGACGACGGGUAGCCGGCCUGAGAGGGCGACCGGCCACACUGGGACUGAGACACGGCCCAGACUCCUACGGGAGGCAGCAGUGGGGAAUAUUGCACAAUGGGCGAAAGCCUGAUGCAGCGACGCCGCGUGAGGGAUGACGGCCUUCGGGUUGUAAACCUCUUUCAGUAGGGACGAAGCGCAAGUGACGGUACCUACAGAAGAAGCACCGGCCAACUACGUGCCAGCAGCCGCGGUAAUACGUAGGGUGCGAGCGUUGUCCGGAUUUACUGGGCGUAAAGAGCUCGUAGGCGGUUUGUCACGUCGUCUGUGAAAACCCGAGGCUUAACCUCGGGCCUGCAGGCGAUCGGGCAGACUUGAGUACUGUA